AGUGAACGCUGGCGGCGUGCUUAACACAUGCAAGUCGAACGAGAACGGAAUAUAGCUUGCUAUAUUUGUCAGCUAAGUGGCGCACGGGUGAGUAAUGUAUAGAUAACCUGCCCUUAAGAAAGGAAUAACAGUUGGAAACGACUGCUAAUGCCCUAUAUGCCUUUAAUACAUAAGUAUGCAAGGGAAACGCUUUAGUGCUUAAGGAUGGGUCUGUAUGGUAUCAGCUUGUUGGUGAGGUAAUGGCUCACCAAGGCUAUGACGCCUAACUGGUUUGAGAGGAUGAUCAGUCACACUGGAACGGAGACACGGUCCAGACUCCUACGAGAGGCAGCAGUGGGGAAUAUUGCACAAUGGACGAAAGUCUGAUGCAGCAACGCCGCGUGGAGGAUGACACAUUUCGGUGCGUAAACUCCUUUUAUAUAGGAAGAUAAUGACGGUACUAUAUGAAUAAGCACCGGCUAACUCCAUGCCAGCAGCCGCCGUAA
rnacentral:rRNA from 1 species